CACAGCCCACCCGUUAGAGGGGCAGGAUGGGGACACGGGGGUGAUGGAGGAAGGUGGUCGGCCUGCGGCAUCUCUGGGGUCAGCUGUGCAGCGCUUGGUGGACAGUGACGGGGCGUCCAGCUCUCCUGAGGGGGUGCUGACUGCAGUCCUGGGCCCCGCCUCUAAAUGGACCCUCCAGGCCAGCUACCCAGAGAGAGGAAGGGCUUGAUCACCGGAGCCAAGGAGGUGAAAUGUGCCGGAAGCCACCCAGCCCCACAGGAGGGGGAGCAGGGCCGCCACAGGCCUCCUCAGGGUGCUGGCCGUGCAGGGAGGCUCACCUUCCAUGUCCCUGGUGACAGUGCUGAAGUGCAUCCCGGCCGGGGAUCCCAGCAGCCGGCCAAGCUUCACCCAGUUAGAGGACCCAGGGCCCAGGCGAGAGGUGCGCUCUGCGGUCUCUCCUGCAACC